GCCAAGUACUCUGGCUGGUAUGUGGGCUUCACAAAGAAGGGGCGGCCUCGCAAGGGCCCCAAGACCCGGGAGAACCAGCAGGAUGUGCACUUCAUGAAGCGCUACCCCAAGGGGCAGGCAGAGCUGCAGAAGCCCUUCAAGUACACGACGGUGACCAAGCGGUCUCGGAGGAUCCGCCCCACACACCCUGGCUAGGCCGAGGCCCGAGGCCCCCCGGACCCACUCACACUCCCCGAGAACGGCAUCAGAGGAAUAUUUUUACACGAAAAAUAAGGAAGAAGCUCUAUUUUUGUACAUUUGUGUUUAAAAGAAGACAAAAAAAAACAAAAAACUGAACCAAAACUCUUGGGGGGAGGGGCGAUGGGAUUUUACUGUUGACUUGAAACCCCCGGUGACAAGACUCACGCAGAGGACUGCUGUCAGCCCACGGGUGCCUGCCCCUCUCGCUGCAGGAGUGCAGCUCUAACUUGUCCCCAGAGGACUCAACGAGGGAGCCGACACUCCGAGAAACCAAAGUUCUUUUUCCCAAAGGUUCUGAAAGCAAAGAAAGAAGGAAAAGAAUAAAGAAAAAAAAAAAAAAAAGAGAGAAAGUAGGGCCCCUUCCCACAACGUCCCCAUGUCCCCAGCCCAGCCCUGCCCAGACUCAACAAAAAUCGCUCUCUGGUUUGCAGUCAGUUAUUUAUUGUCUGCUGUCCCGAGACACCGCGCAGGGGAGGCGCCCAGCGCUCCGCGCCCGACUCCGACGACAGACGGCCUCGUCCAGCCGCGGCGCCCUGCGCGUGCGCGGUGCUGGAGGACGCUGCUGUGGACCUUCUCGCUCACGUGACUAGUACACCAAUGAUAAGGGGAUACUUUAAAACCAGCUAUAUUAUAUAUAUAUUAUAUAUAUAAGCUAUUUAUUUCACCUCUCUGUAUAUUGCAGUUUCAUGAACAAGUAU
rnacentral:lncRNA from 1 species